rnacentral:rRNA from 1 species
GACGAACGCUGGCGGCGUGCCUAAUACAUGCAAGUCGAGCGGACUUUCCGGGGUUCUUUCGCUUCGGCGGGUUAGCGGCGGGCGGGUGAGUCACGCGUAAGCUACCUUCCCCUUAGACCGGGAUACCAUUAGCUAACGCAAGCUCAUACCAGAUGGUCGGACCUCUCGCAUGGGGGGAGCGAGAAAGGCGGGGCGGUCUGCCGCUCGCGGCUGGUCCUGCGGCGCGUUGGCUGGUUGGUGGGGUAACGGCCUACCAAGGCGAGGAUGCGUAGCCGACCGGGGAGAGUGAUCGCCCACACUGGGGGUGAGACAGGCACCAGACGACUGCGGUAGGCAGCAGUAGGCAAUCUUCGGCAAUGGUCGGAAGUCUGACGGAGCAACGCCGCGUGAGUGAGAAAAGCCUUCGGGUCGUAAAGCUCGGUUGCCAGGGAAGAACCGGUAGGGGAGGAACUGAACUGGGCAUGACGGUACCUGAGAAGAAAGCCCCGGCUAACUACGUG